rnacentral:lncRNA from 1 species
AAUUAAAAAACGCUCUAUUGAAAUGUUUAACAAUCUUGUUAAGAUUUUCUUGUGGAUCAGAAUGAAAUAACUGAUGAAGAGUCUGAUGAUGAAGAGUCAAUAAGUAGCACAGAUAGUGAAGAAAUCGACGAAAAAGAACUUAUUACAUUUUAUUUUAACCGUGGUUUUAGCUAUAAUGAAAUAAUUCAAUUUCUUGCAAAACAGCAUAAUUUUUCUAUAAGCUAUAGGACACUCUGCAGACGUUUAAAGUCAUAUGGCCUUUACAGGCAGGGAUUCAACGAACAAGUUAAUUCAGAGGACAUCUUAGAGAUAGUGAGACGACGGAUAACUGAAAUUAUAAAUGGACCUGGAUCCUGUGGUGGUUACAGAACAGUCUGGCACACCUUAAAGAUGGAAGGUCUGCAGGUCCCCCGAAUUGUUGUUCAAGAAAUACUAAAAGAGCUAGAUCCAGAGGGAACAGAGCGCAGGAAGGCUCACAGGUUAAAGCGAAGGCAGUAUCAUAAUCCUGGCCCAAACCAUUCAUGGCACAUGGAUGGGUAUGAUAAACUUAAGCCAUUUGGCUUUCCUGUCCAUGGAGCCAUUGAUGGAUUCAGUAGAAAAAUUUUGUGGUUAAACGUGACUCGCUCCAAUAAUUCUCCAGACAAUAUUGCUCAAUACUAUUUAAAUGCUGUAGGUGAAUUUAAUGGGUGUCCAAAAGUAUUAAUAACAGAUAUGGGUACUGAGAAUGGAUUGGCAGCAUCAAUCCAGUGUUAUUUUAGGGAUGAACUUGAAGCUCAUCGCUAUGUGCCAUCGACACGAAAUCAACGCAUAGAAGCGUGGUGGUCAUUUUUUGUGCGAAAUAGGUCAUCAUGGUGGAGGAAUCACUUCAAAGACAUGGAGUCAGAAGGAAUGUUAGAUUGUGCUGCUGAAAUAAGUAUGGAAUGUCUUUGGUAUUGCUUCGCAGAGCUUAUUCAAAAGGACUUAGAUUUUGUAAAAGAGCAUUGGAACUGUCACCGAAUUAGAAAAUCAAGGCAUGAUACAAGAUCAGGGCGUCCCGAUUCUCUUUUCUUCCUACCAGAACAUCAUGGUGCUAUUAAUCUUUUGAGUAUGGUUCCUCAAGAAGAGAUUGACUAUGUUUCCCAGCAUGUAGUGUAUAGAAACAGCAGAAAUGAAUAUCAAGAAUACUUCGACUAUGUAAUGGCAACCUUGGGACUAAACAGACCAACAAAAUGGGAAGAAGCAGACAAUUUGUACUGUCAGUUUAUGGCAAUAGCCGAAAAUGGUGCCUGAAAUGAUGAAAAUGUGAGCAAUACAAUAAAUUCACUUUGAACAUACUGUAGGGCAGAUUUUUAAUCAUGGCAUUUCACCAUGCAUGGAGAAUGAAAUGGAGAUGCAUUUUAUUCAUUUCAUGUACCUUCAAUAGUUAUGAUAAUACUGAGAUGUGUACCAAUGAUCAAAAUUGGUUUAUACAACACUAUCAUGCCAACUUUGGCCUGAUUACUAAUAAGGCCAGAAACAAGGUACUGUAUAUGUUACAUUUGUUGAUGUUGCGAAUUGUUAAUCUGACAAAUGGUUGUAGGCUACUGUAAAUGAGAAAAAUAAAGUCAAACUUGGAAACAGUAGAAACAACAGAAAACAACAUUAUUUAAAUACUGGAUAUGAAUAAACCAAAAUGUAGGAUAAUAAGUUACCAUAUUCCAGUCACCACUUAAUAUAAAACUGUGAACUCAACAAUGUUAAUGUGCCAUGCAAUUAAAUAAUCUACUGUUUAUACAUUCCCAGUUGUAGGACUGUAAUGGUACAGGGGUAGCUGUACUUAAAAGUUAUCACCUUGGUUUAUUUCCUUUUUCGUAUAUCAAUUUGUUUAAUUAAUAGAACCAAAACAAUAUGGAUCCUAUUAAUAUGACACUUUAAAGCACAUUAAAAAAUUCUUUGUUUGCAAUCACGUG